rnacentral:lncRNA from 1 species
AACUGUUUACCGAUAGCAGCCAUCGUGGAUGAGAAGAUAUUCUGCUGUCAUGGAGGUUUAUCACCAGAUCUUCAAUCUAUGGAGCAGAUUCGGCGAAUUAUGCGACCAACUGAUGUACCAGAUCAAGAUUUUAAAGCCUGCAGAGAAAAAGAAGCCAAAUGCCACGAGACCUGUAACGCCUCCAAGGGGUAUGAUCACAAAGCAAGCAAAGAAAUAGAUGUCGUUUUGACACUGCCUAGUCGGGACUUGUAACAUAGAGUAUAUAACCUUCAUUUUUAAGACUGUAAUGUGUACUGGUCAGCUUGCUCAGAUAGAUCUGUGUUUGUGGGGGCCCUUCCUUCCAUUUUUGAUUUAGUGAAUGGCAUUUGCUGGUUAUAACAGCAAAUGAAAGACUCUUCACUCCAAAAAGAAAAGUGUUUUGUUUUUUAAUUCUCUGUUCCUUUUGCAAACAAUUUUAAUGAUGGUGUUAAAGCUGUACACCCCAGGACAGUUUAUCCUGUCUGAGGAGUAAGUGUACAAUUGAUCUUUUUUAAUUCAGUACAACCCAUAAUCAUGUAAAUGCU